UUUUUUUUUUUGGUGGUGGUGGUGUUGUCUUUUUUGUCUCUUUAGGGCCGCACCCGUGGCAUAUGGAGGUUCCCAGGCUAGUGGUCAAACUGGAGCUGCAGCUGGAGUCUAUGUCACAGCCACAGGAACACUGGAUCCAAGCAGCAUCAGCAACCUACACAGCAGCUUUCCUCAAUGCCAGAUCCUUAACUCACUGAACUAGGUUAGAGGUGGAACCCACAUCCUCACAGACACUGUGUCAGGCCCUUAACCUGCUGAGCCACAACAGGAACUGACUGUAUUUUCUUACAAAGGCAUAACCAAGUGCUUUACAGGAACUAAGAAAAAAAGUCUGCAAAUAGGUAAUGUAACAUUUCAUUACUGAGAAAUGUGCACAGGACUACCUAUCACAAACCAGUGAAUGUCACUGGAGGCAAGAGAAAUUGCCUGACUCUCAGAAAAGCUGAGAGACAUUACAAAGCAAUAACUGGCUUCUGGGCCAAUUCAUAAGGAGUUGUUACUUCUUUCUUAGUGGUACAUAAAGUAAUGGUGAACUUGCCAUUAAUAAAAUCCUAAAUAUAUCUUUUUCAUCAGGGUUAAGUAUUAAGUAAACCUUGAUAAGAGUUUGGAGUAAUAUGUAUUGCACUUAGGACUCACACACAUAAACUUCAUCUUCUUCAAGACCCGCAGGCCCUCAAACCCUCAAAGCCAUAAAACACACGUCCAAUCUUGGAAACCAUCUGAAGUGACAUUCUGCAAGGCAUAUGUAUGCUUAGCCAGCUACAUGGGGGAUUGUGUGUCACCUUUCCUACCUUCAAGCCUAGAAAGCUUCUAGAAAACAGGUCCAGGUCAUCAAUCGGGUUUGCUCACUUAAUGGAGGAGAUGAGCAGAACAUAUCCAGCCCACAGGCUAGCCUAAAACACAGCCUGGAAGAGCAUUAGGUGCUACGAGUGAAUGCUCCAAUCUCACAAAUCAAUAAAUCACUCUUAUUCCUGGGCAGAAGGCGCUGCUCGAGCUCAAAGGGAUGCAGAAGGAGCCGGAGGAGGGCUUCCAGGGUGACCCUGGGACAAGCGACUAGUACAACUAGCAAGUGGCUAUCUUCCAGCCAAACACCUAGUACGAAGGCGGCUACUUGAGAGCAUGCCUCAAGCCCCCCGUCUGUCUUACUUCCCUCAGCCUUUCGGCUCUUGACCAAGAUUUAGGACGAGACAGGGACGUACGCGUUUGCACGCUCCACACCCUGCGCCCCGCGCCAAUCCCGGGCUGGCGGCUGCCCUUCGAGCGCUGGAACCCGGCCCCGCCCCCCGCAGCCUUGCGACCACCCUCCUGUGCAUCAGCCCCACACCUUCUCAUCAGCCGUCCUGAGGUGGAGGCAGUGGAAAGAGGGCAAAGCCAAGGUCCCCCGAGUACACAAGCAUCAUUCCGAAAGCAGGUCCUGGGACCAAGAUGGACGACAAGCGUCGCUGCGCCAAGGUGCCCAUCACGUGGUAGGCGAGCGCUGCGUGAAAACCGAGGCGCCGGCGCAGGAGGUUAGGACCCCCUGGACCUGCAGCACUGCAACCCGGAGGAUGGCAAGGCCUGGCCCAAGGCUGUUUCCGGGAGGACGAGGAUGACUCCGCAACCAGGAGUACCGACUCUGAAUAAACUUACAAAUUUUACCAAAGGAAAAACCACAAACAGAACAAAACAAACAAAAAACAGAAACAACAGUUCUGGAGGCCAGAAGUCUAAAAUCAAGGUGCGAGUUCCCUUGUGACGCAGCCAGUUAAGGAUCCAGAAGCUGGGUCGCUGGGGUUGGGGGGGGAACUUCCACGUGCAGGGGCGGGCCAAAAAGAAAAAAUAAAUUAAAAAAUAAAACAACAUUUUAAAAGGUGUUGUCAGCAUCGAUAUCUUAUGGAAGCUCUAUGAAUCCCUUACCUCUUUUCUAUUUUUGAUGGUUAAUGCAGUCCUUAGCAUUCUUUGACUCAUACUUGCAUAACUUGCCUCUGCCUCCAUCUUCACCUGGCUUCCCCCUGUAUCUCUGUGUCAAAUCUCCCUUCGCUUUCUCUUUGUAUACCAGUCAUUGGGUUUAUACACUAUCCUAAAUCUGGGAUUAUCUCAUCCCAAAAUCCUUAUUUUAAUUACAUGUGCAAAGAUCCUAUUUCCAAAUAAUGUCACAUUCAUAGGUACUAAAGGUUAAGACUUGAACAGAUCUUUGGGAAAAUACUAAACAAUCUUUAUGAAAGCUUGAGAACAAGGAUUUUCCUCCUACUUCUCCUUUAUUCCAGGAACUGUGCCAGGCACCAAAAAUCCAUAAAUGAGGAGUAUCAGUGCAGUCCCUGUCCUCGUGCCUAGAGUCCAUUCUUCACCUUCUACACUGCCAAGGCCCUAUUUGAAUGGUCUCCUACUUUUUCUCCCAGCCUCCAGUCUAACUAAUCUGAAAUACAACAAAACACAGCAAAACCCUAUACUAACC
rnacentral:lncRNA from 1 species